AGUGAACGCUGGCGGUAGGCCUAACACAUGCGAGUCGAACGGCAGCACAGUAAGAGCUUGCUCUUACGGGUGGCGAGUGGCGGACGGGUGAGGAAUACAUCGGAAUCUACUUUUUCGUGGGGGAUAACGUAGGGAAACUUACGCUAAUACCGCAUACGACCUACGGGUGAAAGCAGGGGAUCUUCGGACCUUGCGCGAUUGAAUGAGCCGAUGUCGGAUUAGCUAGUUGGCGGGGUAAAGGCCCACCAAGGCGACGAUCCGUAGCUGGUCUGAGAGGAUGAUCAGCCACACGGGAACUGAGACCGGUUCCAGCCUCCUACGGGGGGCGGCAGGGGGGAAUUUUGGAAAAGGGGCGCAAGCCUGAUCCAGCCAUACCGGGUGGGUGAAGAAGGCCUUCGGGUUGUAAAGCCCUUUUGUUGGGAAAAAAAAGCAGCAGGUUAAAACCCCGCUGUUCUGACGGUACCCAAAGAAUAAGCCCCGGCUAACUUCGU
rnacentral:rRNA from 1 species